UUGGCUUUAGCUAAUGGCUAACGACAACACGUUGUUUUUAAUGAUUUAUGAAGUCUCCAAAACACUGCUGUUCCAUUAUGGAUUACAAAGCUUCUGAAAAGGAUAUGAUCACCCUCCUUCGAAAGCUACAACAGUGACGAAGCAGAUUUAAUUUAAAGGUGCUGUCUGGGGUGAUCCAGAGGUCGGGGGUGAAAGAGAGGCCAGCUGGACUAUGAGAGGGUGAUCAUGAGUGUUGGAUGGACGGUCGGAAGGCUGCUACAUCCCCGAUGACUGUCAUCAUCAUCGUCUGUGUCCGACUGGCAUUGACGAGCCAGAAAGGCAACGAGCCAGCUAGCCAGACAGCAGGGUGGUGGAAAUAAAUGCAAACUGCCCCUUGGCCCCUGUGUGCAACCUACUGUCAGGCAAAUUUUAUGCAAACUUUUGAAAUGUCGCAAAAAUGUUUUAAUGUCAAUUAGGUGUGUUGU